UACAGAGGUCCCAAGCGUUGUUCGGAUUCAUUGGGCGUAAAGGGUGCGUAGGCGGCGCGGUAAGUCGGGUGUGAAAUCUCGGGGCUUAACUCCGAAACUGCAUUCGAUACUGCCGUGCUUGAGGACUGGAGAGGAGACUGGAAUUUACGGUGUAGCGGUGAAAUGCGUAGAUAUCUGGAGGAACACCGGUGGCGAAGGCGGCAUCCUGGACCAAUACUGACGCUGAGGAGCGAAAGCCAGGGGAGCAAACGGG
rnacentral:rRNA from 1 species